rnacentral:rRNA from 1 species
CAGUCGCCGCGGUAAUACGUAGGGUGCAAGCGUUAAUCGGAAUUACUGGGCGUAAAGCGUGCGCAGGCGGUUAUAUAAGACAGAUGUGAAAUCCCCGGGCUCAACCUGGGAACUGCAUUUGUGACUGUAUAGCUAGAGUACGGCAGAGGGGGAUGGAAUUCCGCGUGUAGCAGUGAAAUGCGUAGAUAUGCGGAGGAACACCGAUGGCGAAGGCAAUCCCCUGGGCCUGUACUGACGCUCAUGCACGAAAGCGUGGGGAGCAAACAGGAUUAGAUACCCGAGUAGUCCCUGUCUCUUAUAC